AGGAAGGAAGGAAAGAAAGAAAGACGGAAAGAAAGAAAGAAAGAUGGAAAGAAAGAAACACACACACAUAGGGACGGACAAUCCAGAGGCUCUAGAAUUUUUGCGUGCUGACUGAAUAGUGAAUUGUUGUUACUGAUUCCCUUCUAGGUGGUGAAAGGUGACAGCUGCUCUGUGCAGUUACGAUGCUGCACUGCCGCUAUAGCCCUCUCCCUCUGUAGUGAUCCAACAUUCUACUAUAUAUCGGCAAAACUAUUCCAACCCGGCCCUUUCAACUCUCCCAACUCUAAGCCAACAGUCACGCUACUAUGAAGAUGUCAGGCAUAUGGAAAUAACAGAUGGGAAAGGCGAGAGGAGAUCAUUACUCUGAACUGUCUGGGAUGUCCCUGGGCAAUGCUAAGCUAACAUUCAGCGGUGUCUACAAGAUGACACGCAAUAUGUUGAAAGAAUGGAGCGGUAAUUCCCUUGGAAGGAUGUGAAAAGCUUUCCAAUCUCAAGGUGAUAUCAGAGCUCAUUCCCACUGAAACACUUGGAUGCUCUUUCUCCAGCCAUCAUGCUCUCUUUUUUCCACUCAAGAAAAUAAGAGAAUGCAGGUUUCCGCAGACACUGCAAGCCCCCUCAAGCUUAGGCAGUGGCCCUAACUCAGAUCUCUCUUCCCUCUAGAUCAACACAACUGGUAAGUCAGGUCUCAGCUCAUAUAACACAUUCAC